rnacentral:rRNA from 1 species
UACGUAGGGUGCAAGCGUUAAUCGGAAUUACUGGGCGUAAAGCGUGCGCAGGCGGUUAUGCAAGACAGAUGUGAAAAUCCCCCGGGCUCAACCUGGGAACUGCAUUUGUGACUGCAUGGCUAGAGUACGGUAGAGGGGGGAUGGAAUUCCGCGUGUAGCAGUGAAAUGCGUAGAUAUGCGGAGGAACACCGAUGGCGAAGGCAAUCCCCUGGACCUGUACUGACGCUCAUGCACGAAAGCGUGGGGAGCAAA